rnacentral:rRNA from 1 species
CAGAGACAGGUGCUGCAUGGCUGUCGUCAGCUCGUGUUGUGAAAUGUUGGGUUAAGUCCCGUAACGAGCGCAACCCUUGUCCUUAUUUGCCAGCACGUAAUGGUGGGAACUCUAAGGAGACUGCCGGUGACAAACCGGAGGAAGGUGGGGACGACGUCAAGUCAUCAUGGCCCUUACGAGUAGGGCUACACACGUGCUACAAUGGCCGGUACAAAGGGCUGCGAGCUCGCGAGAGUCAGCGAAUCCCUUAAAGCCGGUCUCAGUCCGGAUCGGAGUCUGCAACUCGACUCCGUGAAGUCGGAAUCGCUAGUAAUCGUGAAUCAGAAUGUCACGGUGAAUACGUUCCCGGGCCUUGUACACACCGCCCGUCACACCAUGGGAGUGGACUGCACCAGAAGUGGUUAGCCUAACGCAAGAGGGCGAUCACCACGGUGUGGUUCAUGACUGGGGGAAAGUCGUAAC